AGUACAACACCGUCUUCGAGACCGGACGUAGACAAUCAUCCGAUCGCUUCAGCCAAAACGUUUUCUGCCUCUUGGGAUUUCCGAAGCGUUUACCAAUUCUUCGCUUCCGUUUCACAUUCUCCACUUGGUCAACUCAAAGAAUUGAUGAAAUUUUGAAUUCGCUUUUUACAUACAAAUGUAACGUGUCAAGUCAGCCAGUUUGAAGACAUGAAUUGAAGUUCUGUACAAUACAUCUAGUAAAUUGCAGUGACAUCAUGAAAUCCAACUGCAGAAAAUCGAUCAUUGGUUCAAUGGUCUGGUUGUGAUAGAUUAACGUUUCGCUUAAGUACACGACUGAACGGCGGAUAAGAAACCCUUGUCGUCGUCGAACUUGGCAGCGGUCGAAGGUUUGGCCGAAAUCUGUCAUGUUCGCAUCAACGGACUCGGACAAGUCGCGUGCAGUUUCAAUUAUUUACGUUAGACAAGCUGGACGGAUAUUUUUUAAAAUAAAAUACAAAUACAAACGAGAAUGUUAAAAAACUGUAAUGUCAUUUUCGUAAUGGUUUCUGACACGGGAAUUAUAUGAAAAACAUUUUCCUCGUGACACCUAUCGAUUGUUUAUAAACACAAAAUUGUGUUGAAAGUGGAAAUACUUGAUCAUUGAGUUGUAUAACACAUAUUAAUUG